UGAAGAGUGUACGUGCCUGAGUUCCUCCUUUAUUUUUCAUAAGGUCCACAAAGACAGAUUCCUGUUAUGUGCAUUACUGGCAUGCAGGACAACCUUUGGAAGGCUUUCCUCCCUAGAACAGAAUUUGACUUGAGAUAAACCUUUCAGUGGAAAAAUAGGAGGGCACGAACUAUCUUUUCAGAUAUACUUCUGUCUGUGUCAUCAAUGCCUUUUUUUGCACUCACGACAUCAUCUCUUUCAUACUGGACUCCUUUUUGGGCAUCACAGCUAUGAAGGCUUCCAUAGCCAUGGACCUUACCAGCGCAGAGCACAACAUCCAUACUUAGUCCUGUACUUCUAGUAAAGUCAACUUAGAUAUGAGGUGCAUGUUUCCAUGCUGAAGAACUCUCUACCCAUCUUUUAAGUGCACAUGGAUUAAUCUCAUCAGUUGCUCAGUCUGGAUUUGAUUGAACACCAACACAUUUGUUCAUCUGCUGGAAGAGGAAUCCUUUGACCGGGUUUUGACCUGAAAUCUGACACAAAUCUGUUUGUUUACUUAUCUGAAGCUGAUUAAUGUCAUUAUUGAUUGCUGCAGUUUGUUUACUGCAGCUACAAUGUCACAGGUUAAUUCUACUUGCUGUGGUCUUAACACCAUAUCUCCUAAAUUAUUGACUUUUGUGCAUGCUACUCCUUCAUUUGUUUACUCACAGUAAUAAAUCUUCAACUUUGUCUAAAACUAAACA
rnacentral:lncRNA from 1 species